UCGUACAGCCAUGCCUGCUGAUAUUGUGUUCCUGGUGGAUGAUUCCUGGUCAGUGGGUCUAACCAGCUUCCAGCAGAUCAAAGAGUUCAUAGCGGACAUCAUCCGAGGCUUUCAGGGAAGUGUGGUUGGACAGGAAGGCAUUCGCUUUGGAGUUACUGUCUAUUCUGACUUGCCCAGAUUGCUGUUCUGAUCACUAAUGGCCAAUCAGAUGAUCCAGUGGACAGUCCAGCUAAAGCUGUAACAGACAGUGGAAUUUCCCUGUUUGCUGUGGGGGUAAGGAAUGCUGACCAGUCCGAGAUGAGGAAAAUCGUCACAGAGCCCCAUGAGGAACAUUUACAGCUCAGCCCAGAUUUCUCCUUUCUGGAGAACCUUCUGCCCAAACUCUCUCGUUGCAUCUGCUUCACUGCUUCAGAACCUCCCCAACCUGUUAAACAAAAGCCACCUGGUAAAAACACCAUGAGUUUUUC